rnacentral:rRNA from 1 species
AACGAACGCUGGCGGCAUGCCUAACACAUGCAAGUCGAACGAUUGCCUUCGGGUGAUAGUGGCGCACGGGUGCGCAACGCGUGGGAAUCUGCCCGUAGGUUCGGAAUAACAGCUGGAAACGGCUGCUAAUACCGGAUGAUAUCGCGAGAUCAAAGAUUUAUCGCCUGAGGAUGAGCCCGCGUUGGAUUAGGUAGUUGGUGGGGUAAAGGCCUACCAAGCCGACGAUCCAUAGCUGGUCUGAGAGGAUGAUCCGCCACACUGGGACUGAGACACGGCCCAGAAUCUUACGGGAGGCAGCAGUGGGGAAUAUUGGACAAUGGGCGCAAGCCUGAUCCAGCAAUGCCGGGUGAGUGAUGAAGGCCCUAGGGUUGUAAAGCUCUUUUACCCGGGAAGAUAAUGACGGUACCGAGAGAAUAAGCCACGGCUAACUCCGUG